rnacentral:rRNA from 1 species
GUGGGGAAUCUUCCGCAAUGGACGAAAGUCUGACGGAGCAACGCCGCGUGAGUGAUGAAGGUCUUCGGAUUGUAAAGCUCUGUUAAUCGGGACGAAAGAGCCUAGUGUGAAUAAUGCUAGGAAGUGACGGUACCGGUAUAGAAAGCCACGGCUAACUACGUGCCAGCAGCCGCGGUAAUACGUAGGUGGCAAGCGAUGUCCGGAAUUAUUGGGCGUAAAGCGCGCGCAGGCGGAUAUGCCAGUCUGUCUUAAAAGUUCGGGGCUUAACCCCGUGAUGGGAUGGAAACUACAGAGCUAGAGUAUCGGAGAGGAAAGUGGAAUUCCUAGUGUAGCGGUGAAAUGCGUAGAUAUUAGGAAGAACACCAGUGGCGAAGGCGACUUUCUGGACGAAAACUGACGCUGAGGCGCGAAAGCCAGGGGAGCGAACGGGAUUAGAAACCCUGGUAGUCC